UCCCCGUUGCCGGGGCAGUCUAGCUAGAGAAAUUCAACUAACUAUAAGGGUUGCGCUCGUUGAUGGACUUAACCAAACAUCUCACGACACGAGCUGACGACGGCCAUGCAACACCUGUCAUCGGGUUCCAAAGGCACAGUCUCCUUUCGGAGACCUUCCCGAGAUGUCAAACCCUGGUAAGGUUCUUCGCUUACCAUCGAAUUAAACAACACGCUCCACCGCUUGUGCGGGUCCCCGUCAAUUCCUUUGUGUUUUAGUCUUGCGACCGUACUCCACAGGCGGGACGCUUAACGCGUUAGCUUCGCUACUACCAGGGUCGAUACUGAUAACAGCUAGCGUCCAUAGUUUACGGCGUGGACUA
rnacentral:misc_RNA from 1 species